AGUGAACGCUGGCGGCAGGCCUAACACAUGCAAGUCGAACGGCAGCACAGGAGAGCUUGCUCUCUGGGUGGCGAGUGUCUGACUGGUGAGGAACACACCGGAAUCUACUUUUUCGUGGGGGAUAUCGUAGGGAACCUUACGCUAAUCCCGCAUACGACCUACGUUUCAAAGCAGGGGACUUUCGGGCCUAGCGCCAUUGAUUGAGCCGAUGUCGGAUUAGCUAGUUGGCGGGGUAAAGGCCUACCAAGGCGACGAUCCGUAGCUGGUCUGUGAGGAUGAUCAGCAACCCUGGAACGGAGACACGGUCCAGACUCCUACGGGAGGCAGCAGUGGGGAAUAUUGGACAAUGGGCGCAAGCCUGAUCCAGCCAUACCGCGUGGGUGAAGAAGGCCUUCGGGUUGUAAAGCCCUUUUGUUGGGAAAGAAAUCCAGCCGGUUAAUACCUGGUUGGGAUGACGUUACCCAAAGAAUAAGCACCGGCUAACUUCGUGCCAGCCGCCGCGGUAA
rnacentral:rRNA from 1 species